AAUGAACGUUGGCGGCGUGGAUUAGGCAUGCAAGUCGUGCGGAAAGGCCCCUUCGGGGGUGCUCGAGCGGCGAAAGGGAGAGUAACGCGUGGGUAACCUACCCUGGGGUCCGGGAUAGCGGCGGGAAACUGCCGAUAAUACCGGAUAACGUCUCCGGACCAAAGGUGUGAUUCCGCCUUAGGAUGGCCCCGCGUCCUAUUAGUUAGUUGGUGGGGUAAUGGCCUACCAAGACGACGAUGGGUACCGGGUGUGAGAGCACGACCCGGCUCACUGGGACUGAGACACUGCCCAGACACCUGCGGAUGGCUGCAGUCGAGAAUCUUCGGCAAUGGGCGCAAGCUUGACCGAGCGACGCCGCGUGCGGGAAGAAGGCCUUCGGGUUGUAAACCGCUGUCAGUGGGGCGGAAAUGCAUAGGGGUACUCUCCUAUGUUUGACCAAUCUGCAGAGGAAGUCCGGGCUAAGUUCGUGCCAGCCGCCGCUGUAAGAC
rnacentral:rRNA from 1 species